AGUCGUAACAAGGUAUCCGUAGGUGAACCUGCGGAUGGAUCAUUAACACACAAAUACAUCCUAUUUUCCUUUCCAGCUCUUGCAGCAAUAUAAAGCGCUGAGGGGACACCCUCAGCGUGGUUGCUUGAGCAAAGGAAAAUAUGCCCUUUAGCGAACUGUUAAAGUCCUUUAACAACAACACACAAACCAUUUAACCGUUUUAUCUAAAAAAAAAAUUGCUUCUUGCGAUUACUACAAUCACAAGAAACCAAGAACAUUAACAAAAGACACAAUUUUUGACAAUGGAUAUCUUGGCUCGCUG
rnacentral:misc_RNA from 1 species